UACUAUAAAAAUAAUUAAACUGAAUCACACUGAUUCAGUUCCAUUUAAUUUAAUUUAAUAAAAACCGAAAUUAUUAAUGGAGUUCACUCCCCAGUUGCCCUCGCUAAACCAAAUUUGUAACUUUUCAUCACCAAACAAACACACUUAACAACUCAUCAAAGGCAAAGCUAGAUGAAUUAAACAAAUGAAACAUAAAUUAAUCUUAAUCAAAGGAAAA
rnacentral:misc_RNA from 1 species